UACGAAGGGGGCUAGCGUUGUUCGGAUUUACUGGGCGUAAAGCGCACGUAGGCGGAUCGAUCAGUCAGGGGUGAAAUCCCAGAGCUCAACUCUGGAACUGCCUUUGAUACUGUCGAUCUGGAGUAUGGAAGAGGUGAGUGGAAUUCCGAGUGUAGAGGUGAAAUUCGUAGAUAUUCGGAGGAACACCAGUGGCGAAAGCGGCUCACUGGACCAUUACUGACGCUGAUGCACGAAAGCUAGGGGAGCAAACAGG
rnacentral:rRNA from 1 species